UCCUUUCUCCACAUCCUUUUAAUAAUAUCCAAGGAGAGCAUUGGAGUAGACAAGAGGAACCUCGGAUCUUCCUAAAUGCGUUUUGAUAACGAUGGCCCGUGUACUUUGUUAAAAUUACAUUCUACCCUUCCUUUAUAGAGCGACUGUCCCCAAAAAAGGAGCUAAUCCCUUUGAAACCGGCCGAUGUGGCAUCGAUAUAAGUCUGAAACAUUUAUUCUAGUGUCACAAUUGACCACAAAGUGUAAAUAGGAUAACGUUGGUCAUAAAGUCAGUCUCGUCUAAAACUAAGUUUGGAACCUCAGUAAAUCAAGGUUGGGUUUGGAUUACAAUCAUGUCAACAAAUCAGGCUCCGUUUUGACAAACUCCACGUGCAAAUCGUUCCUUCGACCUCUUUGCUUCCUUUCAUUGAAUGGAACUUCAUCGCCCCCAAUGCUUUCAAAGAAGGAUCAUGGCCCUAUAUGGAUUGACCAUGCCCCCUGAGCCAAAAUUUGGCUGUUUGCAUGCACUGUCGAAGGACCCUGGUAUGUGAUCGUAAUGGGCGCAUGGAGUUUGUCGGUCCCCAAGUUUGUACCAGCAACGCUAGCAUUGUGUGUUUGCAACAACCGGUGGUGCCUCAGCCUACACCACCUGAUGAGGAAGUACAUUGUUUAUGAGGAUUGCCUGCUGCGGUUGUUCGAGAGAUCUCCAGUUUGAAGCUAAACAUGCAACAUAGAGAAGACCAGCAAGGGGACCCUUAGAAUCAAGCAGACAUGCCUCGCUGUGAGAAUUUAUUUAAAUGGAACAGGGAGGACACUUGAAUCAGUAUCUUUGAUGAGGGGCCAGGAGCUGAUCUAUGCUGCCAUGCCCAUCAACGGCGCACAGGCUUAAACCUCACCCCCAGCCUCACCUCUUGCCUGCACACCAACGGCGCACAGGCUUAAACCUCACCCCCAGCCUCACCUCUUGCCUGCACACCAACGGCGCACAGGCUUAAACCUCACCCCCAGCCUCACCUCUUGCCUGCACACCAACGGCGCACAGGCUUAAACCUCACCCCCAGCCUCACCUCUUGCCUGCACACCAACGGUCGUCGAUGGGGAGACCAGAAUAAAAUGCAUCUAUGGAGCCGGCACUUGGAGACUUGCAAGAUGAUGUGAUGGAGUCCUGAACGACAGACAGGCUUUAUACUGAUGUCUCUAAAUGGAGAGAGACCUGCCACUCGGCAUUAACAUUUUACUAGACACAACUUUGACUUGUAAAGUGUUUCUUUAUUAUUGAAUGGUAUCAGUCAAUGUUGGGAGGGAGAAACCCUGUGUAUUAUCCGGGAACUGCUGUUGUAUACAAGACACCACACCGGGAGGUAUGACCACGCUGACAUUUUUGCCAAGGUAGCCCCAUUACCACCAGAAACCUCUGGCAUCUCACCAUACAGCUACCUCUAGUUAUUGAACUCAACCUGCGGGAGGUUUUUGUUGUAAUUGAGUGGGGGGAAACGGCUGUGAGAGACUUCAAUCAAAGUUGAUUUCUGAGAGGCGUUGUUUACUCAUCAUAGCUCAUGUAAAGAAUAGAUCAUGUAAACACUUGUGGGUGCACAAAUAUCAUGACAUUCACAUAAAGUUAGACCUUCUAACCGAGAGUUCAAAUGAAUGUGUCAAAAAAAUUACACUUGAUCAGUUACACUUGAUUUGUAAAAAUGAUGGCCUUUAGAUGAAAUGACAUGGAACUCUUACAGGUUUGUCCAUAGUGAAUGAGUUCCACACUGGCAUGAGGGAUCUCUUGCUAUUGCAUUGACAAAGACUGGAUGAUUCAGUAGGCAGUAGUCAUUGCUGGGUUACAGCAUUUUUGGUCUCUCCAACAAUGUGUGCUUCUCCUCAACAGCGUUCACUGAAAGUGAGUUGACAGACAAAUGACACCAUUUUACUUUUUCAGAUUUUUGUGGUGUUAAAGCAUGAAUUUAAAAUGGAUUGAAUUAAGAUGUUUUGGUCACUGGCCUACACACAGUAUACCAUAAUGUCAAAGUGGAAUUCUGUUUUUAGAAAUGUAAAAAAAAUAAAAGCUGAAAUGUCUUGA